CAGCAGUCGCCGCGGGAAUACGGAGGAUCCAAGCGUUAUCCGGAAUCAUUGGGUUUAAAGGGUCCGUAGGCGGUCUUGUAAGUCAGUGGUGAAAGCCCAUCGCUCAACGGUGGAACGGCCAUUGAUACUGCAGGACUUGAAUUAUUGGGAAGUAACUAGAAUAUGUAGUGUAGCGGUGAAAUGCUUAGAGAUUACAUGGAAUACCAAUUGCGAAGGCAGGUUACUACCAAUUGAUUGACGCUGAUGGACGAAAGCGUGGGUAGCGAACAGGAUUAGAUACCCCGGUAGUCCCUGUCUCUUAUAC
rnacentral:rRNA from 1 species